AUUUUGUUUUGGCUUACGCUACGGUAGGGUUUUAUCUUCUGUUCACGGGAUUGGGAGGCAUCGAAAUCAGAGAAGAAGCUAUAAUCCUCAUCGUCGUUGCCAGAUUCCAACACGUGCAAGAAAGAGGUACGUCAAUGAACCUCGUGAUCACCACCGAUCCUAUCGUCACCGAUUCCCUCUUCUUUUUGAUUUUGUCAUUCGCAAUCUCCCUAUCGAUGCUAGCCCGAAAGAUCUUAGGGUUUCCUUUGAAUGGUAUGGUUCGGUGAAGGAUGUUUUAUCUGCCGAAAGAAAAAUUAUUACUCAGGACACGCCAUUGAUCUGUCCUUUAUUCAUAUGUCUAUGUUUGUUCUGGUUGUUUCUUUGUUGACGAUUGUAGUGUACUUUGAAUAGAGCUUCAUGAUAUUAUAAUGUCUUUUGCUGAAAUUGUUUUUCUAUCUUUUUGAUGGCUUAUUGAUAUUUUGUUUUUAGUACCAAUAAAGGUGCCCGACUCUUUAAUUAUGCUUAGUAAUGAUAUGUAGCUUUGUGAAGUUUCGUUAUGGUAAAGAUGCAGCUGAAGCAAAAGAUAGUCAUCGUUUUCCCAGGUGAUCUAGAAAUGUUUAACGGUCUCUUUCUCUGCGUUCUCCAUAUGGUGACUAGGAAUACAGAACCAAGCAGAGGUCCCCAAGUCCUAGGGAGAAUGGUCAGUGUCCACAUGAUUAUAAAGAUAAUGUGCACAAUAUGUUAAAGAGUCCAAGGCGUGUCAAUUGUAAACCUUCAAGGCCUUCUUAUGGUGUUUUGCACACGUGGUUACUACUGAAAACCGUAAGCGUGGUUGUCUGGUGCUUUAUAUUUACGAACAAUUAGUACUAUGAGUUAGUGUGGGUAUGUUUUCAGUCUAGCAGAUUUGAUAUCUGGAUAUAUCUUAUUUUUUUUUUAAAUGUCUUCUUGUGCUAUAAUUGGCAAAAAAAAUUACAUACAACAAGUGUUAGUAAAGAGAAUUGUAAGUAACGCAGAUGGCAACAAUGGAGAAGAUACAGAUGAAUAAUGAAGGAACUAAGGUAACAUUCAAGAGCCUAGACACACCCAAGUAGCCAGACACUGUUAUAGUUCCAUCUGCAAUCACACGAGCUAGGGUUCCUGCUUAUGAUGAAAGAAGCCCUCCAUUGUAAGUUUCACGAGAAAGCCUAGACGACAUUACACGCGACAAGAGUGACAAGUUCACACCUUCAGCAAUUCCACAGAUACAAAAGUGAUGAGAGCAGAGCCAACAUACUGAGGCACAGAGUAAGGAAUCCCAAUAUGGAAGCUUAGGAGAAUGCCAACCAAAACCAUGAUUUCAGAAGCCAGCAGAACUUGCCUGCAAUAAAUUUAAAUAGCAUGUAUGCCAUCCAUUCGCAGUAAACUCAGAGCUUAUUUUUUACCAUCAUGUCCACAUGAGCUCAAUGGGACCGUUAAUAUGCUUAUUUUCAUAUUUGAACUUACCUUUCUUCGAACAUGUUGCUGACGUAGGUUCCGACAAUUAUGUUUACUGGAAGCACUGUUAGGCCAAGACAUGCAAGAAAGAUGGUCACACUAUUGGUUGACCAUAUAAAAUGGAUCAAAUCCAAAAUCUGAUAGCUUUUCCCAGAUAGUGAAUGAAGAGAAGGCAAGAUUGAGAUCGUAUAUAGGUUCAAGGCUACCAAGGUGUGAGAGGAGAUGUAACAAAUGCAAGAGUUGCGAAGCCAUUCAUAGGAAAAUUAGGAUACUUUUUAUUUUAAUUUGUAAACAAAUAUGGGGUAUUAUUUUAAUUUGUAAAAUAUAGAC